GUGUACUUAGCUCAAUGGUUAGAGCAUCCACCUAGCGUUUGGAGGUUGCAGGUUUAAAUCCUGAAGUGUGCA
rnacentral:tRNA from 1 species